GACGAACGCUGGCGGCGUGCUUAACACAUGCAAGUCGAACGGAAAGGCCCUGCUUGCAGGGUACUCGAGUGGCGAACGGGUGAGUAACACGUGGGUGAUCUGCCCUGCACUUCGGGAUAAGCCUGGGAAACUGGGUCUAAUACCGGAUAGGAGCCCUUUUUAGUGUGAUGGUUGGAAAGUUUUUUCGGUGUAGGGUGAGCUCGCGGCCUAUCAGCUUGUUGGUGGGGUAAUGGCCUACCAAGGCGGCGACGGGUAGCCGGCCUGAGAGGGUGGACGGCCACAGUGGGACUGAGAUACGGCCCAGACGCCUACGGGAGGCAGCAGUGGGGAAUAUUGCACCAUGGGCGCCAGCCUGAUGCAGCGACGCCGCGUGGGGGAUGACGGCCUUCGGGUUGUAAACUCCUUUCGCUAGGGACGAAGCUUUUUGUGACGGUACCUAGAUAAGAAGCACCGGCUAACUACGUG
rnacentral:rRNA from 1 species